rnacentral:rRNA from 1 species
UACGUAGGGGGCAAGCGUUGUCCGGAAUCAUUGGGCGUAAAGCGCGUGUAGGCGGCUUGGUAAGUCCGCUCUGAAAGCCCGGGGCUCAACCCCGAACUUGCAGUGGGUACGGGCAGACUAGAGUGUGGUAGGGGAGACUGGAAUUCCUGGUGUAGCGGUGAAAUGCGCAGAUAUCAGGAGGAACACCGAUGGCGAAGGCAGGUCUCUGGGCCACUACUGACGCUGAGAAGCGAAAGCAUGGGGAGCGAACAGG